UACGAGGGGGGCGAGCGUUGUUCGGAAUUAUUGGGCGUAAAGGGUGCGUAGGCGGUUCCGCAAGUCCUGUGUGAAAUCUUCGGGCUCAACUCGAAGUCUGCACGGGAAACUGCGGGGCUUGAGUAUGGGAGAGGUGAGUGGAAUUCCUGGUGUAGCGGUGAAAUGCGUAGAUAUCAGGAGGAACACCUGUGGCGAAAGCGGCUCACUGGACCAUAACUGACGCUGAUGCACGAAAGCUAGGGGAGCAAACAGG
rnacentral:rRNA from 1 species